rnacentral:lncRNA from 1 species
UUUAAGUAAAUAGAAAUCAAUGAAAUUUAAACACAAUGUUUAUGACCACAAAAGGAAGGUUGGUAUUGAUUUUGGGAGUUUAGGUCCCAACAGUUUAGGAAUUAGGGGCCAAAAAGGGACCCAAAUAAGCAUUUUUCUUGGUUUACGCACCAUAACUUUAGUAUAAGUGAAUAGAAAUCUAUAAAAUUUAAACACAAGGUUUAUGACCAUAAAAGGAAGGUUGGUAUUGAUUUUGGGAGUUUUGGUCCCAACAAUUUAGGAAUAAAGGGCCCAAAGGGUCCAAAAUUAAACUUUGUUUGAUUUCAUCAAAAAUUGAAUAAUUGGGGUUCUUUGAUAUGCCGAAUCUAACUGUGUAUGUAGAUUCUUAAUUUUUGGUCCCGUUUUCAAAUUGGUCUACAUUAAGGUCCAAAGGGUCCAAAAUUAAACUUAGUUUGAUUUUAACAAAAAUUGAAUCCUUGGGGUUCUUUGAUAUGCUGAAUCUAAAAAUGUACUUAGAUUUUUUAUUAUUGGCCCAGUUUUCAAGUUGGUCCAAAUCGGGGUCCAAAAUUAAACUUUGUUUGAUUUCAUCAAAAAUUGAAUAAUUGGGGUUCUUUGAUAUGCCAAAUCUAACUGUGUAUGUAGAUUCUUAAUUUUUGGUCACGUUUUAAAAUUGGUCUACAUUAAAGUCCAAAGGGUCCAAAAUUAAACUAAGUUUGAUUUUAACAAAAAUUAAAUUCUUGGGCCUCUUUGAUAUGCUGAAUCUAAACAUGUACUUAGAUUUUUGAUUAUGGGCCCAGUUUUCAAGUUGGUCCAUAUCAGGAUCCAAAAUUAUUAUAUUAAGUAUUGUGCAAUAGCAAGAAAUUUUCAAUUGCACAGUAUUCAGCAAUAGCAAGAAAUCUUCAAUUGCACAGUAUUGUGCAAUAGCAAGAAAUCUUCAAUUGCACAGUAUUGUGCAAUAGCAAAUAUUUUCAAUUGCACAGUAUUGCACAAUAGCAAGAAAUAUCUAAUUGCACAAUAUUGUGCAAUAGCAAGAAAUUCCAAUUGGAUUUCAAUUGGAGUUAUCUUUCUUUGUCCAGAAUAGUAGUUGAAUCAACUUAAAUCAUUGUUUUAUACAAUAUACAAUGUAUAUUCACUUUUACUACCAACUGAUAGAUUAAAACAAUCUUUACCAUUCAGUAAUAACAAGCACUUUUUUUACAUUUUAAUAUUUUA